GGAGGGUGCAAACGUUGCUCGGAUUUACUGGGCGUAAAGCGCAUGCAGGCGGGUCUGCAAAGUUUCGUGUGAAAGCCCUGGGGCUCAACCCAGGAAGUGCACGGAAAACUGGCAGACUAGAGUACUGGAGAAGUGGGCGGAAUUCCCGGUGUAGAGGUGAAAUUCGUAGAUAUCGGGAGGAACACCAGCAGCGAAGGCGGCUCACUUGACAGAUACUGACGCUCAGAUGCGAAAGCGUGGGGAGCAAACAGGAUUAGAUACCCUGGUAGUCCACGCCGUAAACGAUGGGCACUAGGUGUCGGGGGCUUGACCCCUUCGGCGCCGCCGCUAACGCAUUAAGUGCCCCGCCUGGGGACUACGGUCGCAAGACUA
rnacentral:rRNA from 1 species